AUCUCAGAACACGACACCGCUUUUACUCUCUACGGUGAAACCGCUCCCGAUCUCCUUCACACUGCGACCUCGCUCCGAUCUCCUUCACACUGCGACCUCGCUCCGAUCUCAUUCUCGCUGCAAUCUCGCUCCGGUCUUGCUCCGUUCACGAUCUCGCUCCGAUAUGGACUCGAUUCUCUUCGUUGUAUUUCUCCUUCUCUCUAUAAAUUGUUGUUCGUUUUCUAUCCCUCUCAUGGUUGUUAUUCUUCGUUGAAAUUUGAUGUUCUCCACUGUUUCUUCUCCGAUUGUAGUGUAUGUUAAAUUUCGACACUCUAAUUUAGUUCCUUUUCACUAAUUGUGAUUUGGAUUUGAACCCUAUGAAUUUCAUGUUUAGGUUUUGCAUAAAUUGAAUUCAUUAGGUUUUGCAAAAAUUGAAUUUAGGUUACUGAAUUUGUUCACCAAAUUGACAAUUAGGUUUUGCAAAAUUUGAAUUCAGGUUACUGAAUUCACUUUACUUUAUGCGAUAGAAUUAGAUGAUACUUAUUGGAUUGAUUCUAUAAUUCACAUUUCCGGUGGCUGGUAUUUAGAUGAUACAUAAUUCUUAUUCUUACAAAAAAAAUUUGUGUUGAGAUAAUAAUCCCUCUGUAUAUUGAUUGUCACUUUCUUUAUAUAUGUUCAUAAUGAUUGCCUUUUUUCUAGUGUAGGUGAUUUGUGAUAUGGUUUAGUAAGUUAACAAAUGCAGCUUUUUUUCAUAGUUUAUUCAUAUAAACCUUAGCAGCUAUGUCUUUUGAUAAAAAAUGAAUUGAAAGUUAGACGAAAGUCUUACAUAGCUUAGAGGUAUGCAUGCCUUAGUAUGAAUAUACUUAUGUAGUUAUAACUUAUGACAGUAUAUAGAUAGCUAUCCAAUGUAUAAUUUUCAGCGUUCAAAAUAACACUUCUACAGUCAAGUCUUCAUUGCAAACUACUUUAUAGCUAUACUUAUUGUGAAGGGGUUAUUUAUAUUUGAUGGAUUGUAAUGAGUAGUGUACGGUGCCUGUAGUCUUUGAUACUUUCAAUUUAAAAUUUGAGUUUCUUUUGUUUUUGUAUGCUUAAUUACUGUUUGGCAAAUAAGCACGUGAAAAUGCAUUGCGGUGCAUUGGUGAUAAUGAUGUUCAAAAGCUUGGAAGAAGUGUUUUUCCUGAAAAUUUGAAGGCUACUACUAUCAGCGAGAUUACUAGGCUCAGGAACGUUGCAAUGACAUCAAUUACUUCACGCUUUGUGGUUGAUGAACGGACUAUCCAGAUGCCGGUAAGUCUACAACAAGAGACAGAUACUUUACUUCAGUGGUCAGAUACCAAAGUAGAGAAAGCUGGUUGACCUUCUACUGGAGGUUCUUAAUAUUGUGUCUGGUUUUGGUCCAACUUCUGGUUCAGCUCUUACCAGUCAUAUGGAUGUUGACAAGGGUAGGUUGCUUAAUUUGUAUCUGUUAUUGAUCCAGCAAGGAAUCCGUCAAGAUUCUUCUCCAAAGACUCUGGAUAUUGUCAAUCUACUGCAUAAUAAUACUGAACCAUUCUGCCUCCACGUCGCAGAAAGGAAGUUGACUUGGUUAAGGACGACAUCAAAAUCAUAGACAUCCCUGUGCACUUGGUUAAGGUAUAUUCAACAAUGGAGUUUCUUUAUGAUGUUUCUGUGUGUGUCUGUAUUCAGCAAUGGAGUUCAUUUAUGACUUGGGUCAAUUCAUGGAAAGGGGGAAAUAUUGGUACUUCCUUUAACACUUAAAAUCUUUGAAAAUUUCCAAGUAUAACAUGCAUAUUUGCUUCAUUUAAUUUAGCUUUUUUCAAAUUUGUAACGGAUGAUAAUUAAUUUAUAAUUAGCUCUGUUUUGGGCAUGGCUUCA